rnacentral:rRNA from 1 species
CCUCCUUUCUUCCGCAUUCUUUCCUAUUGCUCCCUGGGGGAAACCCUGACGCCUCCCCUCCUCUUUUCUUCUUAAGGUUUUCGGAUUGUAAACUCCUUUUGUUAGAGAAGAUAAUGUCGGUAUCUAACGAAUAAGCACCGGCUAACUCCGUGCCAGCAGCCGCGGUAAUACGGAGGGUGCAAGCGUUACUCGGAAUCACUGGGCGUAAAGAGCGCGUAGGCGGGAUAGCAAGUCAGAUGUGAAAUCCUAUGGCUUAACCAUAGAACUGCAUUUGAAACUGUUAUUCUAGAGUAUGGGAGAGGUAG